GUGCGGGGUAGGGGUGUGAGGUAGGGCCGUGGGGUAGGGCCACAGGGUAGGGCCACGGGGUAGAGAUGCAGGCUAGAGGUGCAGGGUAGGGGUGCGGGGUAGGGCCACGGGAGAGCCUGGGGUGGCCUUGGCUUUUGCGGGGUCACCAGCCGGCACCUGGGCAGUGGAGGGCCGGCGCCGUGAGGCUGGGCGGCGGGCCCCGGGUCGGGUUGGCACCUGCCGCCGCACGACGGCCUUGUUCCUGCGGUGACACGGUGAGACGCAGAGGACUGGAGGCGGCGGCAGCACCAGGGGCACCUGCUGCGUUUCUCGGGAAGCUUUCUCCCGAGGGAGCUCAGACUCCAAGGGGAGCUUUGGGCGCCCCGAAGUCCUCGGCCCGCCCCCCCAUCUGCCAGCGGGAGCCCACGUCCUCCUCCUCCCGCUGGUGUCUUCUCCGCGGAGGGCGCCCCGUGAAUCCCGUCCGCCACCCCUCGCUCAGCCGCCACGGCCGCGGCCCCGGGAAGGCGGCCUUCUGGAGGGGCCCGUGCACCUGCCGCCUGGCCGCUGUGCCCCCGGGGUGGGGGCCGGGGCUCUGCAGCCUGGAGGGGAGCUGCCCCCGCUUCCCGCUGCACGGUGUGCACGAACACACGCCCGCCCGGAACGCCUGCAACAGCUCGGCUUCAGCAGAGCGCUCCGUGUGCGUGUGCGAGCCCCCGGCAGCGCGUGCAGCGGGCACACCCGUGUGCAGGUGUGGAGUCCGCCCCCGCGGGGGCCGGCCACGUGCAGCCCUGGCGCACCGGCCCUUCUCAAAGCCUUGGCCCCCUGCCCCCAGCUCCCGCUCUGGGGGGAGGAGGACAAUACACUGUCCUAGAUGUUCGGCAACAAAGGCCAAGCGGCUGAGCGGCCGCCGCCGCCCGGGGCGCGCCCACGGGGUAAUAAGUGACCGUCGGUUGCUUACUCCGAACUCAUUUUCUCCUUCUUUAGUGACUGUGACUCGUGGACCACUGGGGGAAGGAACGUCCAAGGAGAGGGGACAUUUCUUGGCCUCCUUUAGAGCGAGCUGCUGUCACGCGAGCGAGUUCUGGAGACGGGUGAUUUCCGGGAAGGCUCUUUAA
rnacentral:lncRNA from 12 species